CCUACGGUGGCUGCAGUGGGGAAUAUUGGACAAUGGGCGAAAGCCUGAUCCAGCCAUGCCGCGUGUGUGAAGAAGGCCUUCGGGUUGUAAAGCACUUUCAGUGGGGAAGAAAGCCUUGGGGCUAAUACCCUCGAGGAAGGACAUCACCCACAGAAGAAGCACCGGCUAACUCCGUGCCAGCAGCCGCGGUAAUACGGAGGGUGCGAGCGUUAAUCGGAAUUACUGGGCGUAAAGCGCGCGUAGGCGGUCUGAUAAGCCGGUUGUGAAAGCCCCGGGCUCAACCUGGGAACGGCAUCCGGAACUGUCAGGCUAGAGUGCAGGAGAGGAAGGUAGAAUUCCCGGUGUAGCGGUGAAAUGCGUAGAGAUCGGGAGGAACACCAGUGGCGAAGGCGGCCUUCUGGACUGACACUGACGCUGAGGUGCGAAAGCGUGGGUAGCAAACAGGAUUAGAUACCCUUGUAGUC
rnacentral:rRNA from 1 species